rnacentral:lncRNA from 1 species
AGCAAAAUGAAGUGGAGCUCUACCAACUUCAUCCAGCGAUGAUGCCAUUUUUGCCCUUUCCCAUGAUCUCUGUAAUUAAGAAUUGAAAUGUGAAUAAUCAUAUAUGCAUAACAUUGUAGUCUCCACUAUUUAAAUAUUCAUUUCAUUUUUCCAAUUAUCAUUUUAGCGGACAUGAAAAUUGCACAAAAUUAUAUCUGAC